rnacentral:rRNA from 1 species
GACGAACGCUGGCGGCGUGCCUAAUACAUGCAAGUAGAACGCUGAAGAGAGGAGCUUGCUCUUCUUGGAUGAGUUGCGAACGGGUGAGUAACGCGUAGGUAACCUGCCUUGUAGCGGGGGAUAACUAUUGGAAACGAUAGCUAAUACCGCAUAACAAUGGAUGACCCAUGUCAUUUAUUUGAAAGGGGCAAAUGCUCCACUACAAGAUGGACCUGCGUUGUAUUAGCUAGUAGGUGAGGUAACGGCUCACCUAGGCGACGAUACAUAGCCGACCUGAGAGGGUGAUCGGCCACACUGGGACUGAGACACGGCCCAGACUCCUACGGGAGGCAGCAGUAGGGAAUCUUCGGCAAUGGGGGCAACCCUGACCGAGCAACGCCGCGUGAGUGAAGAAGGUUUUCGGAUCGUAAAGCUCUGUUGUAAGUCAAGAACGAGUGUGAGAGUGGAAAGUUCACACUGUGACGGUAGCUUACCAGAAAGGGACGGCUAACUACGUGCCAGCAGCCGCGGUAAUACGUAGGUCCCGAGCGUUGUCCGGAUUUAUUGGGCGUAAAGCGAGCGCAGGCGGUUUGAUAAGUCUGAAGUUAAAGGCUGUGGCUCAACCAUAGUUCGCUUUGGAAACUGUCAAACUUGAGUGCAGAAGGGGAGAGUGGAAUUCCAUGUGUAGCGGUGAAAUGCGUAGAUAUAUGGAGGAACACCGGUGGCGAAAGCGGCUCUCUGGUCUGUAACUGACGCUGAGGCUCGAAAGCGUGGGGAGCGAACAGGAUUAGAUACCCUGGUAGUCCACGCCGUAAACGAUGAGUGCUAGGUGUUGGAUCCUUUCCGGGAUUCAGUGCCGCAGCUAACGCAUUAAGCACUCCGCCUGGGGAGUACGACCGCAAGGUUGAAACUCAAAGGAAUUGACGGGGGCCCGCACAAGCGGUGGAGCAUGUGGUUUAAUUCGAAGCAACGCGAAGAACCUUACCAGGUCUUGACAUCCCGAUGCUAUUUCUAGAGAUAGAAAGUUACUUCGGUACAUCGGUGACAGGUGGUGCAUGGUUGUCGUCAGCUCGUGUCGUGAGAUGUUGGGUUAAGUCCCGCAACGAGCGCAACCCCUAUUGUUAGUUGCCAUCAUUCAGUUGGGCACUCUAGCGAGACUGCCGGUAAUAAACCGGAGGAAGGUGGGGAUGACGUCAAAUCAUCAUGCCCCUUAUGACCCGGGCUACACACGUGCUACAAUGGUUGGUACAACGAGUUGCGAGUCGGUGACGGCAAGCUAAUCUCUUAAAGCCAAUCUCAGUUCGGAUUGUAGGCUGCAACUCGCCUACAUGAAGUCGGAAUCGCUAGUAAUCGCGGAUCAGCACGCCGCGGUGAAUACGUUCCCGGGCCU